rnacentral:rRNA from 13 species
CUUUCCAUUCGACCCGUCUUGUAACACGGACCAAGGAGUCUGACAUGUGUGCGAGUCAACGGGCGAGUAAACCCGUAAGGCGCAAGGAAGCUGACUGGCGGGAUCCCCCUGGGGGUUGCACCGCCG